rnacentral:rRNA from 1 species
AUUGAACGCUGGCGGCAGGCCUAACACAUGCAAGUCGAGCGGCGUUUUCGGACCUAGCGGCGGACGGGUGAGUAAUGCGUAGGAAGCUACCCGAUAGAGGGGGAUACCAGUUGGAAACGACUGUUAAUACCGCAUAAUGUCUACGGACCAAAGUGUGGGACCUUCGGGCCACAUGCUAUCGGAUGCGCCUACGUGGGAUUAGCUAGUUGGUGAGGUAAUGGCUCACCAAGGAGGCGAUCCCUAGCUGGUUUGAGAGGAUGAUCAGCCACACUGGAACUGAGACACGGUCCAGACUCCUACGGGAGGCAGCAGUGGGGAAUAUUGGACAAUGGGCGCAAGCCUGAUCCAGCCAUGCCGCGUGUGUGAAGAAGGCCUUCGGGUUGUAAAGCACUUUCAGCGAGGAGGAAGGGUGGUGUGUUAAUAGCACAUCAUUUUGACGUUACUCGCAGAAGAAGCACCGGCUAACUCUGUGCCAGCCGCCGCCGUAACAC